AUUGAACGCUGGCGGCAGGCCUAACACAUGCAAGUCGAACGAGUGGCGGACGUGUGAGUAAUGUCUGGGAAAAUGGCUGAUGGGGGGGGAUAACUACUGGAAACUGUAGAUAAUACCGCAUACCAUCAGGUGUCCCCAGAUGGGAUUAGCGAGUUGGUGGGGUAAGGGCUCACAAAGGCGACGAUCCCUAGCUGGUCUGAGAGGAAGAACAGCCACACUGGAACUGAGACACGGUCCAUACACCUACGGGAGGGAGCAGGGGGGAAUAUUGCACGAUGGGCGCAAGCCUGAUGCAGCCAGGCCGCGUGUAUGAAGAAGUCCUUCGGGUUGUAAAGUACUUUCAGCGGGGAGGCGUUACCCGCAGAAGAAGCACCGGCUAACUCCGUGCCAGCAGCCGCGGUAAUAC
rnacentral:rRNA from 1 species